CCUACGGGUGGCUGCAGUGGGGAAUAUUGCACAAUGGGCGCAAGCCUGAUGCAGCCAUGCCGCGUGUGUGAAGAAGGCCUUCGGGUUGUAAAGCACUUUCAGCGGGGAGGAAGGCGGUGAGGUUAAUAACCUCAUCGAUUGACGUUACCCGCAGAAGAAGCACCGGCUAACUCCGUGCCAGCAGCCGCGGUAAUACGGAGGGUGCAAGCGUUAGCCGGAAUUACCGGGCUGUCAGCGCAGGCGGGCGGUCCCCGGGCUCAACCUGGGAACUGCAUUCGAAACUGGCAGGCUAGAGUCUUGUAGAGGGGGGUAGAAUUCCAGGUGUAGCGGUGAAAUGCGUAGAGAUCUGGAGGAAUACCGGUGGCGAAGGCGGCCCCCUGGACAAAGACUGACGCUCAGGUGCGAAAGCGUGGGGAGCAAACAGGAUUAGAUACCCGAGUAGUC
rnacentral:rRNA from 1 species